rnacentral:rRNA from 1 species
CACGUAGGAGGCAAGCGUUAUUCGGAUUUACUGGGCGUAAAGCGCGUGUAGGCGGUUCGGAGAGUUGGAUGUGAAAGCUCCUGGCUUAACCGGGAGAGGCCGUUCGAUACUUCCGGACUUGAGGAUGGUAGAGGAAGAUGGAAUUCCGAGUGUAGUGGUGAAAUGCGCAGAUAUUCGGAGGAACACCAGUGGCGAAAGCGAUCUUCUAGACCAUAACUGACGCUCAGACGCGAAAGCUAGGGUAGCAAACAGG